UACAGAGGGGGCAAGCGUUGUUCGGAAUUACUGGGCGUAAAGGGCGCGUAGGCGGUCUGCUAAGUUGGAUGUGAAAACUCUGGGCUUAACCCAGAGCCUGCAUUCAAUACUGACAGGCUAGAGUUCUGGAGGGGAUAGCGGAAUUCCUGGUGUAGCGGUGAAAUGCGUAGAUAUCAGGAGGAACACCGGUGGCGAAGGCGGCUAUCUGGACAGAGUCUGACGCUGAGGCGCGAAAGCUAGGGGAGCAAACAGG
rnacentral:rRNA from 1 species